AGGACUCUUGCCAUCCUCUAGAGAAAUCCUGGAAUAGGCAGCUCUUAGACAUUAAUACCCUGCACAGAUCGAGAAUCUCAUGAGCCCACGACUGAAAUCCAG